rnacentral:lncRNA from 1 species
UUUAAAUUAUAGUAAAUGGAAUACAGGAUGACCUCAGUUAAGUCCAUGCUGUCUACACAUUUAGGGAGGUACCUACCCAGUGUGAAUUGCAGAAGACGAACACUCAGCAUUUUUGCCUCUGAAAGCUGCAUGUGCUACAGACACUUUGGAAAUGACUUGUGCUCCCUAAACAUGAGAUAGAAGCUCUACACACUUAAAAAAAAAAUUAAAAACUACAUAAGAAAAUGGAUACUAUGGGUCAUUGUGUCAAAAAGUCUUCUUGAAUGACUAUACUCUCCACUUACUCUGUUUGGUUAUAUUGCACUAUGUACCUGGGACUUUUC